rnacentral:rRNA from 1 species
CAAUAGUGUAUAUUAAAGUUGUUGCAGUUAAAAAGCUCGUAGUUGAACUUCUGGCAGUGUGCAGUCUUGGCUUCGGUCAGUCUGUUCGCUGCCAUCCGUCUGCAAACCUUGUUCGUCCUUCACUGGUUCGGCAAGGGGAGUAGACAUUUUACUUUGAAAAAAUUAGAGUGUUUCAAGCAGGCUUUCGCCAGAAUACUUUAGCAUGGAAUAAUGGAAUAGGACUCUUGUCCAUUUGGUUGGUUAUUGGACCAGAGUAAUGAUUAAUAGGGACAGUUGGGGGCAUUAGUAUUUAAUUGUCAGAGGUGAAAUUCAUGGAUUUAUUAAAGACUAACUUAUGCGAAAGCAUUUGCCAAGGAUGUUUUCAUUNA